rnacentral:rRNA from 1 species
AGUGAACGCUGGCGGUAGGCCUAACACAUGCAAGUCGAACGGCAGCACAGUAAGAGCUUGCUCUUACGGGUGGCGAGUGGCGGACGGGUGAGGAAUACAUCGGAAUCUACUUUUUCGUGGGGGAUAACGUAGGGAAACUUACGCUAAUACCGCAUACGACCUACGGGUGAAAGCAGGGGAUCUUCGGACCUUGCGCGAUUGAAUGAGCCGAUGUCGGAUUAGCUAGUUGGCGGGGUAAAGGCCCACCAAGGCGACGAUCCGUAGCUGGUCUGAGAGGAUGAUCAGCCACACUGGAACUGAGACACGGUCCAGACUCCUACGGGAGGCAGCAGUGGGGAAUAUUGGACAAUGGGCGCAAGCCUGGUCCAGCCAUACCGCGUGGGUGAAGAAGGCCUUCGGGUUGUAAAGCCCUUUUGUUGGGAAAGAAAAGCAGCAGGUUAAUACCCCGCUGUUCUGACGGUACCCAAAGAAUAAGCACCGGCUAACUUCGUGC